rnacentral:rRNA from 1 species
AGUAACACGUGGAUAACCUACCUAUAAGACUGGGAUAACUUCGGGAAACCGGAGCUAAUACCGGAUAAUAUUUUGAACCGCAUGGUUCAAAAGUAAAAGACGGUCUUGCUGUCACUUAUAGAUGGAUCCGCGCUGCAUUAGCUAGUUGGUAAGGUAACGGCUUACCAAGGCAACGAUGCAUAGCCGACCUGAGAGAGUGAUCGGCCACACUGGAACUGAGACACGGUCCAG